rnacentral:rRNA from 1 species
UACGAAGGGGGCUAGCGUUGCUCGGAAUCACUGGGCGUAAAGCGCACGUAGGCGGAUCGCUAAGUCAGGGGUGAAAUCCUGGAGCUCAACUCCAGAACUGCCCUUGAUACUGAGGAUCUCGAGUUCGGGAGAGGUGAGUGGAACUGCGAGUGUAGAGGUGAAAUUCGUAGAUAUUCGCAAGAACACCAGUGGCGAAGGCGGCUCACUGGCCCGAUACUGACGCUGAGGUGCGAAAGCGUGGGGAGCAAACAGG